UGAAUACAAUACUGUAAGUCACUCUGGAUAAGAGCGUCUGCUAAAUGACAGAAA
rfam:Salmo salar isolate Sally breed double haploid chromosome ssa16, whole genome shotgun sequence.